rnacentral:rRNA from 1 species
GACGAACGCUGGCGGCGUGCUUAACACAUGCAAGUCGAACGGAAAGGCUCCAGCUUGCUGGAGUACUCGAGUGGCGAACGGGUGAGUAACACGUGGGUGAUCUGCCCUGCACUUCGGGAUAAGCCUGGGAAACUGGGUCUAAUACCGGAUAGGACCGCACUUUGGUGUGUGUGGUGGAAAGGUUUUUCUGGUGUGGGAUGAGCUCGCGGCCUAUCAGUUUGUUGAUGGGGUAAUGGCCUACCAAGACGGCGACGGGUAGCCGGCCUGAGAGGGUGGACGGUCACAUUGGGACUGAGAUACGGCCCAGACUCCUACGGGAGGCAGCAGUGGGGAAUAUUGCACAAUGGGGGAAACCCUGAUGCAGCGACGCCGCGUGGGGGAUGAAGGCCUUCGGGUUGUAAACUCCUUUCGCUAGGGACGAAGCUUUUUGUGACGGUACCUGGAGAAGAAGCACCGGCUAACUACGUG